ACUGUCCAUCUUGCCUUCAGGAUAAUGUGAAAUAUGGCCUAAUUUUUGAAGUUUUUUUCUUAGAAAUUUUACUGAAUCCAAAAUAAAACAAGAAGAUCAUGAGUCCAGAAUUCUCUUUUCUCAACACUAGAUGGCAGUAGAGUUAAAGAAAAAAAUCCCAGCAGUUCUUUGUACAGGGAUUUGGUGAUUUUUCCCAUAAAGCUGCGAUGAGGAUGAACUCAGAGCAAAAUCUAUAAUAUUAUGUGUCCAUUAACAUGAUGAUGACAUGUGAAAAUGUUUAUGGAUGAAUUUUAAAUUAAAAUGUCAAGCUAUAAAAUUUUAUAUGGAGUAAGAUCUCAUCUUGGUUGGAAGAAAAACACAUUCUGGAGGAACUAAAAAUAAAAGAACUCAGGUGGCAGAGAGGAGAAGCAGCUGGACAUCGGAGACUAUGGCUGGACAUUGGAGAGAAGUGGUUUGACUUCAGAGGGACAGCUUGACAGUGAAGAAUUCGGCCAGAGAUAGCUGGACUUCAGGGGAAGAUGAUCUUUCCGCCUCAUCCCCCUUUCAGCUCCCCUUCCUGCUGAGAGACACUUUAAUCGGCAAUAAAAUCCCCCAUGUUUACCA
ensembl:lncRNA novel transcript